UACGGAGGAUCCAAGCGUUAUCCGGAAUCAUUGGGUUUAAAGGGUCCGUAGGUGGAUAAUUAAGUCAGGGGUGAAAGUCUGCAGCUCAACUGUAGAAUUGCCCUUGAUACUGGUUAUCUUGAGUUAUUGUGAAGUGGUUAGAAUAUGUAGUGUAGCGGUGAAAUGCAUAGAUAUUACAUAGAAUACCAAUUGCGAAGGCAGAUCACUAACAAUUAACUGACACUGAUGGACGAAAGCGUGGGUAGCGAACGGG
rnacentral:rRNA from 1 species